CCUACGGGAGGCAGCAGUGGGGAAUUUUGGACAAUGGGGGCAACCCUGAUCCAGCCAUUCCGCGUGAGUGAAGAAGGCCUUCGGGUUGUAAAGCUCUUUUGUCGGGGACGAAACGGUUACGAUUAAUACUCGUGACAACUGACGGUACCCGAAGAAUAAGCACCGGCUAACUACGUGCCAGCAGCCGCGGUAAUACGUAGGGUGCGAGCGUUAAUCGGAAUUACUGGGCGUAAAGCGUGCGCAGGCGGUUUUGUAAGCCAGAUGUGAAAUCCCCGGGCUUAACCUGGGAAUGGCAUUUGGGACUGCAAGGCUAGAGUAUGGCAGAGGAGACUAGAAUUUCUGGUGUAGCAGUGAAAUGCGUAGAUAUCAGAAGGAAUACCGAUGGCGAAGGCAGGUCUCUGGGUCAAUACUGACGCUACAUGCACGAAAGCGUGGGGAGCAAACAGGAUUAGAUACCCUGGUAGUCCACGCCCUAAACGAUGCCAACUGGUUGUUGGGAGAUUUAUUCUCUUAGUAACGAAGCUAACGCGUGAAGUUGACCGCCUGGGGAUACGGUCGCAAGNUUAAAACUCAAAGAAUUGACGGCNGAGAGNGACGAGACGACGACGAGGGAGAGG
rnacentral:rRNA from 1 species